GAUGAACGCUGGCGGCGUGCCUAAUACAUGCAAGUCGAGCGAACGGACGAGAAGCUUGCUUCUCUGAUGUUAGCGGCGGACGGGUGAGUAACACGUGGAUAACCUACCUAUAAGACUGGGAUAACUACGGGAAACCGGAGCUAAUACCGGAUAAUAUUUUGAACCGCAUGGUUCAAAAGUUAAAGACGGUCUUGCUGUCACUUAUAGAUGGAUCCGCGCUGCAUUAGCUAGUUGGUAAGGUAACGGCUUACCAAGGCAACGAUGCAUAGCCGACCUGAGAGGGUGAUCGGCCACACUGGAACUGAGACACGGUCCAGACUCCUACGGGAGGCAGCAGUAGGGAAUCUUCCGCAAUGGGCGAAAGCCUGACGGAGCAACGCCGCGUGAGUGAUGAAGGUCUUCGGAUCGUAAAACUCUGUUAUUAGGGAAGAACAUAUGUGUAAGUAACUGUGCACAUCUUGACGGUACCUAAUCAGAAAGCCACGGCUAACUACGUG
rnacentral:rRNA from 1 species